AUGCAACCGGCGCAGCCUCCGUGUGGCAGCCGGAGAGGAGGGAGAGGAGCCCCGUCGCGGGCGGCGCCACUCCCACGCUGCAACCACCACCGGCUGCUCGUCCUCGUCGUCAUCGUCUACCUGGUUGGCGGCAGCGACGUUGUCCCUCUAGCCGCUGGUGCGGCGCCGGCCCGCCGUCUGGGACCAGCGGAAUCCGUGGCGUACGACGUCGGCUCACGGCCGGUACCCAAAGUGGUCGCUGCGGCGAGCUCGCCGUCGUCGACGCCUUCUGCCGUGGGGUUCGCCGACGACAAACGGCCGGUCCCGAGCUGCCCCGACGCCCUACACAACAGUAAAAAGUUCGAGAUAGGUUCUCAAAAAUCAUAUAUGGUUCCACUGAUUCGGUUCUCGGUUGUGCACAUGGGAUUGUCUGAGCAUGUGUCUGUUUUUAGCCAAGAGAUUCUUGAAUCUCGCCGGACGCCGGGCAUGCAUCUGUGA
rnacentral:rRNA from 1 species